UCAUAAAAGAAAUUAUCUCCAAACAUGGAAGAUCUGGGGAUUAAGUGACUCAAAAGGUUUAGUGCGAGACUUUUUAAGGUCUCCUGAGACUUUCAAAUGUACUUGCCUUGGAGAGGAAGUGUGGGAAAGCAGCAGCUUUGGAAUUCACUGAUAAAGAAUGAGAUUAACCCCAUCUUUGCAUUAGGUGAAACCAGGUUAAAAUGAAUACUUAAAACAUUGUCUAAAUGGAUUUCUUUUUAGCCCAUGCUGAUGGAGGCCUUGAGAAAUUGCGUCAUCAUCGGGCGACCCUCCCUGCCCACCUUCUACCAAAUGUCUGGGACAUUUCCUGGAAUCUCUGCUUCUGCCUUGCUGUGAGGAAGGAAGGGAGAACUGAAAGGUAGAAUACAAGCUCUCUGCACCAGAGUUGAUUGCCCAAGUGCAAGGGGGCUGGGAAUUGCAAGGAAUAUUUGGUGAGUAAUGCUGUGCUGUCAUGAUCCCGCCUUGCAGUUGGAGCCCUGGAAAUAUCUGACUACUUGUUUCCUUGUCUUUCCAUGGAGGCAAUCACUUGCUGACCUGACAAACUCCUACUGACCUGAACCUCUGCUUCUGAGAAGCUGUCCCUGCCUGUCUCAGGCCAUCUUAUUGGUUCAUUCUUCACAGUCCUCACUGCAUCUGUGGGUAUCUCUGUCACAGCACUUUUCAGUGUGUUGUAAUGGUUUGCCUGACCAUUUUCCUCUAACCUGAAAUCUCUUCAUGGAUAGAGAAAAUGUACAUUCAUCUUUAGUCCCUCAGUUUUUUUUUUUUUUUUUUUUUUAGAUUUAUUUAUUUGAGUGGUAGAGUUACAGACAGAGAAAGGGAGAGACAGAGAGAAAUAUCUUCCAUCUGCUGGUUCACUCCCCAAAUGGCCACCAUGGCCCAAGCUGGGCUGAUCCGAAGCUAGGAGGAGCCAGGAGCUUCUUCUGAGUCUCCUACAUGGGUGCAGGGGCCCAAGGACUUGGACCAUCUUCUAAUGCUUUCCCAGGCCAUAGCAGAGAGCUGGAUCGGAAGAGGAGCAACCAGGACAUGAACCAGUGCCCAUCUGGGAUGCUGGCACUGCAGGUAGAGGCUUAGCCCACUAUGCCAGAGUGCUGGCCUGUAGUCCCUCAGUUUUAACACAAUGGUACAUACAGACUUUUUGUAUCUGAGCCUUAAUGAAUGAAAAAAACAAAUCAAUGUAGGGGUGUUGGUAUUGUGGUGCAGCAGGUGAAGCCACUGCCCACAAUGCCAGCAUCACAUAGAGGUGCCAGUUCAAGUCCUGGCUGCUCCACUUCAAUUCCUGAUCACUGCUAAUAUACCUGAGAAAGCAGUGGGAGGUGGUCCAAAUCCUUGGGCCCCUGUACUUGCAUGGGAGACCUGGAUGGAGUUCCUGCUCCUGGCACUGGCCUGGCCCAGCCCCAAUUUUUGGAGCCAUGUGAGGAGUGAACCAGCAGAUAAAUGAUCUCUCUCUCUUUCUCUCUCUAACUUUGCCUUUCAAAUACAAUAAAUAAAUCUUUGAAAGAAAUGACUACA
rnacentral:lncRNA from 1 species